UACAGAGGUCUCAAGCGUUGUUCGGAUUCAUUGGGCGUAAAGGGUGCGUAGGCGGCGCGGUAAGUCGGGUGUGAAAUCUCGGAGCUUAACUCCGAAACUGCAUUCGAUACUGCCGUGCUUGAGGACUGGAGAGGAGACUGGAAUUUACGGUGUAGCGGUGAAAUGCGUAGAUAUCAGGAGGAACACCCAUUGCGAAGGCAGCUCGCUGGGACGUUACUGACGCUGAGACGCGAAAGCGUGGGGAGCAAACAGG
rnacentral:rRNA from 1 species